rnacentral:lncRNA from 1 species
GGGGAAGAAUCCACCAUUCCAGCUCAGGCUAUUCUGCUGCCAGCUCCUCCCCUCUGUGAGCAAUGUUCCUGACUUCAGACCUUGCCUGAACAUUCUCCAUAGCACUUGCCUUCUUUGCCCUGAAAUCAAGGUCUGACAGUACUCUACUCCCAGAGCUAUCUCAUUGGCCACAUAUCCUGUAUGGUUGGUUGGCUGGUUGGCUGGUUUGGUUGGAGACAGGGCCUCCAUAUGCAGCUGUGGAACAUAUUAUGUAAACCAACCUGGGCUUCAAACCCACAGAGAUCUGCUUGCCCCUGCCUCCCAAGCAAUGGAAUUAGAGAUACUGCUACCUGCUGAGAGGCCCCCCUGAACUAUUCCAGAGACUAUGCCCUAUCCUGCAGACCAUCUCCUGCAGCUGGUUCCAGGCUCCAAGAAUGAAUUGGCAAGAAUGGGCCUCCCCCCUCCUUUAUAAAGUAUAUCUGCC